rnacentral:rRNA from 1 species
UCCUACGGGAGGCAGCAGUGGGAAUAUUGCACAAUGGGCGCAAGCCUGAUGCAGCAACGCCGCGUGAGGGACGAAGGCCUUCGGGUUGUAAACCUCUUUUAGUAGGGAAGAAGCGACUGGGUUUUCCUGGGAGUGACGGUACCUGCAGAAAAAGCACCGGCUAACUACGUGCCAGCAGCCGCGGUAAUACGUAGGGUGCAAGCGUUGUCCGGAAUUAUUGGGCGUAAAGAGCUCGUAGGCGGUUUGUCGCGUCUGCUGUGAAAACCCGAGGCUCAACCUCGGGCCUGCAGUGGGUACGGGCAGACUAGAGUGCGGUAGGGGAGAUUGGAAUUCCUGGUGUAGCGGUGGAAUGCGCAGAUAUCAGGAGGAACACCAAUGGCGAAGGCAGAUCUCUGGGCCGUAACUGACGCUGAGGAGCGAAAGCAUGGGGAGCGAACAGGAUUAGAUACCCUGGUAGUCCAUGCCGUAAACGUUGGGAACUAGAUGUGGGGACCAUUCCACGGUCUCCGUGUCGCAGCUAACGCAUUAAGUUCCCCGCCUGGGGAGUACGGCCGCAAGGCUAAAACUCAAAGGAAUUGACGGGGGCCCGCACAAGCGGCGGAGCAUGCGGAUUAAUUCGAUGCAACGCGAAGAACCUUACCAAGGCUUGACAUAUACCGGAAACGGCUGGAAACAGUCGCCCCGCAAGGUCGGUAUACAGGUGGUGCAUGGUUGUCGUCAGCUCGUGUCGUGAGAUGUUGGGUUAAGUCCCGCAACGAGCGCAACCCUCGUCCUAUGUUGCCAGCACGUAAUGGUGGGAACACAUGGGAUACUGCCGGGGUCAACUCGGAGGAAGGUGGGGAUGACGUCAAAUCAUCACGCCCCUUAUGUCUUGGGCUUCACGCAUGCUACAAUGGCCGGUACAAAGGGCUGCGAUACCGCAAGGUGGAGCGAAUCCCAAAAAGCCGGUCUCAGUUCGGAUUGAGGUCUGCAACUCGACCUCAUGAAGUCGGAGUCGCUAGUAAUCGCAGAUCAGCAACGCUGCGGUGAAUACGUUCCCGGGCCUUGUACACACCGCC